UGACAAUGAUUCAAGUGCAGCACACCAAGCCCGUCGGUGCCCGUGAAGCGCACCCUGCGACGAACAAACCUCGCUUCACUGCCCGCAGUUGACCAGCACAACACGACGGUGCUUAUGAAAACAAAGCGGCGUACGGGAAAUCCCCAGGAAUCACGCCCAACUGGUGUCAUGCGCCGUGUGAUCUUUAAGCAUACGUAAGCUGGCGCCUCCGGUGGAAAUCGGAGAGGAAAAAGAGAGGCAAGGCGGUAGACCCAUCGCGCAACCCGUCCCAAAUCCCGCUGGGUCUCGACAGCAGCGUGAGAUGCGGCGGGGAAGGAGGGUGGGCGAACGCAGCGCUUCGAAUCGGAAAUGCCUCGUGCGUUCUCUUUUUGUUGAAUUCUCGUUCUCGGACAACGGCAGCGAUGCGCCCGUGCUCAGCAAUGCGUAGCUCGGAGCAGUUUUUCGCUGAGCCCCCAUAUUAACUUUCCGGCUUGCUGAACAUUGAAACAAGGAAGGCACCGAGCUCGUGCCUGCUGGCUUUAUCGGCGCGGCGAAGUGGCGCCGAAAUAACGAGCAGCGCACGGGGGAACGGUGCGGGAAGAAGGGCCGCGCAGCCGCAGAACUGUGACUGCUGCGUUGUGGGUGGUGCAAGGGCAGGCUGUCGGUGAAGGAAGAUCACCGCGUGUGGAUCACGCGCUGAGCCGCGGCUGGGCUCACACUCGCGGGAAGUGCGCGCCAUACCGAGCUUCUCUGGCGGCCUGAUCGCGGGCCCGGCUAUCACGAGAGGCUGCGCUCCCGGGAUUACAAACGAUACUGCUGUGCUCCUUCCCCACCUCAGCGACCCCUGUCUACCCCAACCGACCGCUACAGCUAGUUUAGGGGGGGCCUAAUCCGCGCAAGAUGGGCUCUCCUCCGCCCUGAGCGCGCGCGCCGAUCAAUCUGGCGCUGCGAGAACCACUUCAUGGCUCCCCGGAGAGCCUCUGUGAAUGAAUCUGAGGAUGGGAUGCGAUGGACGUCCCCAUUAUAUAUUAAUUAUGCACGAUUAUGCCUGCACCGUAGGAAAAAAGCGUCUACUCAAAGAUCAGCGUACGCACCAGCAGCGCACAGCGUUCGUUCCAGCAGUGAAACGGAGAACGCUGCCCUGGCUCCUCCUGCCGCCGAUGAAGCGAAGCGCGAUGGUGAGUCCACUUGGCUUCGUCGUUCUCGCAGCCAGACGGACUGCGCGUCUAUGAAAA